rnacentral:rRNA from 1 species
GAUGAACGCUGGCGGCGUGCCUAAUACAUGCAAGUCGAGCGAACAGACGAGGCGCUUGCUCCUCUGACGUUAGCGGCGGACGGGUGAGUAACACGUGGAUAACCUACCUAUAAGACUGGGAUAACUUCGGGAAACCGGCGCUAAUACCGGAUAAUAUAUUGCACCGCAUGGUUCAAUAGUGAAAGACGGUUUUGCUGUCACUUAUAGAUGGAUCCGCGCCGCAUUAGCUAGUUGGUAAGGUAACGGCUUACCAAGGCAACGAUGCGUAGCCGACCUGAGAGGGUGAUCGGCCACACUGGAACUGAGACACGGUCCAGACUCCUACGGGAGGCAGCAGUAGGGAAUCUGAGGCAAUAGGCGAAAGCCUGACGGAACAACGCCGCGUGAGUGAUGAAGGUCUUCGGAUCGUAAAACUCUGUUAUGAGGGAAGAACAAAUGUGGAAGUAACUAUGCACGGCUUGACGGUACCUAAUCAGAAAGCCACGGCUAACUACGUG